GUGGGGAAUCUUGCGCAAUGGGCGAAAGCCUGACGCAGCCAUGCCGCGUGAAUGAUGAAGGUCUUAGGAUUGUAAAAUUCUUUCACCGGGGACGAUAAUGACGGUACCCGGAGAAGAAGCUCCGGCUAACUUCGUGCCAGCAGCCGCGGUAAUACGAAGGGGGCUAGCGUUGCUCGGAAUUACUGGGCGUAAAGGGCGCGUAGGCGGACAGCUUAGUCAGAGGUGAAAGCCCAGGGCUCAACCUUGGAAUUGCCUUUGAUACUGGCUGUCUUGAGUUUGGGAGAGGUGAGUAGAACUCCGAGUGUAGAGGUGAAAUUCGUAGAUAUUCGGAAGAACACCAGUGGCGAAGGCGACUCACUGGCCCAAUACUGACGCUGAGGCGCGAAAGCGUGGGGAGCAAACAGGAUUAGAUACCCCAGUAGUCC
rnacentral:rRNA from 1 species